GACGUAGGGUGCAAGCGUUGUCCGGAAUUAUUGGGCGUAAAGGGUGCGUAGGCGGUUUGGUAAGUCUUAUGUGAAAUCUACAGGCUCAACUUGUAGUCUGCAUGAGAAACUGCCGGGCUUGAGUAUGGGAGAGGUGAGUGGAAUUCCUGGUGUAGCGGUGAAAUGCGUAGAUAUCAGGAGGAACACCUGUGGCGAGAGCGGCUCACUGGACCAUAACUGACGCUGAUGCACGAAAGCUAGGGGAGCAAACAGG
rnacentral:rRNA from 1 species